GAUGGUGUAGCUCAGUAGGAUAGAGCAGCAGCCUUCUAAGCUGUCGGUCGGUGGUUCGAAUCCACCCUCCAUCGCCA
rnacentral:tRNA from 1 species